UCCUUAGAUGUUCUGGGCUGCACCCGUGCUACACUGGCAGGUUCAGCGAGCUUCAUGCCCUGAUCUGAAAGGAAUGGGAAAUCUUUUCAAAACCUGCCGUGCUUGGGAUAGAUGUUUGCAAUUAUUCAUCUUCAACGAGGAUUGCCUUGUAAGCGCACGUCAUCAGCGUGCAUUGAAUACGACCCUGUAUUCUGUACACACCGCCCGUCGCUCCUACCGAUUGAAGUUUUCGGUGAGUUGACAGGAGGAUUUUUUUGAAACUGGUUCGCCAGUGGAUUUUAGAUCCAAAUGCCAACGAAUCGAUGGCUUUAGAGGAAGGAGAAGUCGUAACA
rnacentral:rRNA from 1 species